UGCCCUCCAGCCCUACGCCUUGACCCGCUUUCCUGCGUCUCUCAGCCUACCUGACCUUGUCUUUACCUCUGUGGGCAGCUCCCUUGUGAUCUGCUUAGUUCCCACCCCCCUUUAAGAAUUCAAUAGAGAAGCCAGACGCAAAACUACAGAUAUCGUAUGAGUCCAGUUUUGUGAAGUGCCUAGAAUAGUCAAAAUUCACAGAGACAGAAGCAGUGGUCGCCAGGAAUGGGGAAGCAAGGCGGAGUUGGGCAGCUCGUGUUCAAUGGGUAGAGUUUCAGGCUGGGGUGAUGGAAGGGUGCUGGAAAUGAGUGGUAGUGAUGGCGGCACAACAGUGUGAAUCUACUUAAUCCCACUGAACUGUAUGCUGAAAAAUGGUUUAGACGGUGAAUUUUAGGUUAUGUAUGUUUUACCACAAUUUUUAAAAAGCUAGUGAAAAGCUGGUAAAAAGAAAGAAAAGAGGCUUUUUUAAAAAGUUAAAUAUAUAAAAAGAGCAUCAUCAGUCCAAAGUCCAGCAGUUGUCCCUCCUGGAAUCCGUUGGCUUGCCUCCGGCAUUUUUGGCCCUUGCCUUUUAGGGUUGCCAGAUUAAAAGACAGGAUGCCCAGCUAGUUUGAAUUUUAGAUAAACAACGAAUAAUUUCGUAGCAUAAAUAUGUCCCAAGCUUAGUUUGGGACAUACUUAUGCUAAAAAACAUUAUUGGUUGUUUAUCUGAGAUUCAGAAUUAAGCAUUUUAUAUUUUAUUUGCUGCCUCUGGCCACCCUACUCUCUUCCUAACACUCUCUCCCUCUCCCAGUUUUGUCCGCCUUCCCUGCCUCCUCUUCUGGGGGAGUUAGAUCGAGUUGUAACAAGAACAUGCCACUGUCUCGCUGGCUGCAGCGUGUGGUCCCCUUACCAGAGUGAGGAUGCGAAGAGAAGGUGGCUGUCUGCAAACCAGGAAGAGAGCCCUCACCGGGAACCCGUCCAGCUGCCACCUUGAACUUGGACUUCCAAGCCUCCAGAACUGUGAGGGAUAAAUGUGCUGCAUCAGAGUCCCAGGUGGGAAGAAGGCAAGCAUACACAAAAAUGGUAAAAGGCAGAAAGGAGCCCAGUCUCGUUCUUUUUAAGAAGUUUUCCUAAGAAUCUCCACCCAGCGACUUGCUCUCACAUCUUCUUGGCCAGCACUGGACCACACAACUCCUUCUAGAUACAGAGGAGUCCUAGGAUUCUAUGAGAAAGAAGGGGAGGGUGGGCAAAGGGCAGCCAGCUGUGCAGCAUCUGCUGGAGACACCUAACCCUUGGUGGAGGGGUUGUGGUGCUGGGAGAAGGCUUUCUGGACGGUGUGACAGCAGAGAUAAACUUAAAGGCCAAGUAGGAGUUACCCUGGUGAAGCAGGGCAGGGUUACAAGCAUUCCAGCAACAUGAAGCAGCAGGAGUGUUUUAAUUAAAAGAAGGCAGUUGCUGUAACCAACUAUAAACAAAUAAAGGCUUAAACACAAUGGAAGUUUAUUUCUCACUAAGGGAACAUCCAAAUCCAUGAUACUUUAAGUCAGGGACCCAGGUUCCUCCCAUCUAUGGUUCUGCCAUCACUAAUCUGGGUCUUCCACAAUUGCCGUGCUCCUUGGAGGUGGGAAGAGCAGGCGGAGGACACGUGGGAGGUUUUAGGGACAAGCCUGGAGGCAGCAUGCGUCACUCCCAUGCAGAGUCCAUUGGCCAAUGCUGGCUCCGAUGGCCACAUCUCACUGCAGGGGCAGCUGGGAAAUACAGUCUGGCUGUCUACCCAGGAGGAAGAGCAGCCAGUUUCUGCUGCUGAUGAUCAGGAGGUGGAGAAAAUGUUCAGUCAGGCAGGGAGUGGGAAUAGACAAGACCACAAGCAGCUUGGUGCCUCUGAAAGGGAGAGGGGUGGAGGGGAGACUAGAGAGGUGGGUAGGAAUACUGGAUUCCACUGACCACGUGCUGGAUGUCACGCUUAGCCCUCCUGCUCUGUGCCGGGUUAGGCACCUGGUGUUUUACGUACAUAAUCUCAAUUCUGUGAGGGCAUCCGACCUGUGGGAAAAGAGCUGUUUGUUUCAAAUGCCAGUCCUGCUUCCUAACAAGUGUUUAGAGCUUAAUCGUGUUCAAAAUACAUAUACAAUGUUUAAUACUUACAAGAAUUUGGUGGGGAAAAUAUUACCAUCUUUCCCUUUUGUGAUUGGAGAAAAAUGAGGCUUUGAAGGGUUUAAGAACUUGCCCAAGGUCGGCCAGGUGCAGUGGCUCAUGUCUAUAAUCCCAACACUUUGGGAGGCUGAGG